AAUAACAAAGUUAGCUUGAAGGACUUUUAUUUAGUCCAAUCCCACUACUGGUGCCUGAAAUCUUCCUCUAACUGCCUUUCUGAGGGAAUGUCUGGCUGAUAUUUCCAGGGGGCGACUGGAGAGUCCCCACAAAGGGCUGUACCUGCAUCUUGCCUAGGGGCAACAACUGAGGAGAGCACGCAGAGCCUGAAAUCCAGCCCUUCUUAAUUCCACAAUUUGCCAACAGGAGGCACCUUUUUCUCCAGUUUCCACUGAGGUAUCCUGUGGUAGCGGCAGCCAUGAAGACCAAAACUAUGUGUGCUUAUAUAAUAAUGUAAGAGAUCACAGUGACCACUUUCCUCAAACUCUGGCUUUAAAUGGAUCUCAAUUUAGGAGAGUCACAGUGAAGUCACAAGUAAUUGUGGUUGGAAGCUGCACUUUUGGAGCACUCAGCCGUGCUGCAUCAUUAAGCAGUGAAUCUUAUCUCUUACCCUGGAAGAUGGCUGAUUGAAAUCAAAGAGAAGCUAAGUUCUAUCAGUGACCCCAACAAAACGCUUGCCUCUUGCCACUCAGGAGUACAAAAAAAGGUCUGAGAUCUCUUUUUGCAUCCAUUGUCUGCUCUCAACGGUUGUAACUUUCUUUAAAUUUUAAGCUGCAACUCUGUUGCACACUGUGAAUAUAAACAGCUACAUAAUGAUGGCUUGUUCAUCCAACUGCCUUGAACAGAAGCAGACCUGAGCUGCUGCAAUCUUGGUGAUGUUCGAUAUUGCGACAAAGGAAGCAAAACAGAGAUGAAGGAAUCCUGUGCAACGAGGGGCCAUUUUCAGGUCCUAGCCAGAUUACAAACUGCCCCUUUCUGGUGAAAACCAUCUGUGACUCAUAAAGCUUCCUUCACUGUUUACUGCACAGCACAGCCUGGAGAGAAACGGAGAUACAAACCAGCAAAUUUGCAAAUCAGAGAGGCUCUUCUGGCUGCAUCAGUAGUCGCAGCCACUUAGGUGUGCAAAAUGCAAUGGAAGAAAGGAAACCUCCUUAGAAACCUGAUGAAAAUUUGUACUAGGUAUGAAAAGUUUGAGAAAUCACCUGGAAGCCCAAGUCCCUUAACAUUGUUUUCAAAGCCAUUAGUGACUUGGACCUUGGUGGCCUCUCUGGGCUCCUUUCUUGCGCCUCCCCACCUGGAACUCCGCGUUGUCUCAGCUUCUGAGCACCCUAUGGUACUCAGUGCGCUCUCUCUUGCGCAAGCCUGUUCCAGGAGGAACAUUCUUGUGUCUGCUCCCUCAGUCUGACCUAAAUAGUCUCCUCUCUCUCCCCUAAUUUACUUAUCUUACCCUAUCAUUAUUCUUAGCACACUGUAUUUAAUUCUGUUCCCUAGUUUACCCUGCUGCUACGCUGCGAGCUCUGACCCAUGUGUCCCGCUCACCAUUCUGUCCCCAAUGCCCCUGGCGCUUAGAAGUCCUUCAGUAAAUAUUUGUUGACUGCAUGAGUUCAUUGCAGAGGCAUUAAGAAAAUUUUGCAUUUAAUUUUUAAAAAAUCAUAGCAGGAUCAAAUCUUGGACAGCACACUCCAGUGCACAAACAUUAUGACUGUCUUCAUUUUCUUUAAAUCAAUUGAAUUAACUCCAAACUCUAGUUCUACCAGAUGGCAGAAAAUUCAGUCUCUGUGAUUUAGGGGCUGGACCCUUCCCUGUGGUUGCACGGAAUCAGAGAGGUUUCUAUGUGAUCCAGGAAAUGGCAGAAAGACCUCUGGGGUCCUUAUGGUGCUGCUCUAGCCCAAGCCUGCAGAAGCCAUGCUGAUCCCUGUUCUUGGGCUCCAAGGGGGUUCAGGAGCUGCUUCUGGAAUCUCCUGACCAGAGCCCAGCUUGCCUGGUCACUACUGGAAGGAAUUCGUUUUGAAGCCUGAUCACUGCCUCCUCUCCCCAACCCCCC